rnacentral:lncRNA from 1 species
AUAGGUGCUUGGUUUUCUAACAAGCAUACAGAUUUAUGGUUUUAGUUUCCAAUUUGUAUUUAAUAAAUACAGUGUUUAAUUUUAAAUAAGUUUAUGGUAGAAUGACUAUUUUGAAGAUGUAAGAUUAAGCAAAUGGAAUCUAUUCCUGAAGCUCUGAUGACUAAAGUGAUAGGGAAUAAAAACUGACCAUGAAAUGUAAAUGUUUUUCAAAUUUUAUAAAGAAAAUGGUUAAAUUAAAAAGAAUAGACUCUGCUUUUAAAAUAAGAAUCUAUAAAACAGGAGCACCUGGGUGGCUCAGUGGUUGAGCCUCUGCCUUCAGCUCAGGUGGUGAUCCCAGAGUCCUGGGGUCAAGUCCCAUAUCGGGCUCCCCAGAGGGAGCCCGCUUCUCUGACUCUGCCUAUGUCUCUGCUUCUCUUUGUUUCUCAUGAAUAAAUAAAUAAAAUCUUAGAAAAGAAUUACAAAACAUUAUUUUGAAAUAGAAUUUUUAAAAGUCCUUGAAACCAAGUGGCCUUUUCAUAGAGAAAUGUCUUCUAUACAUCCAUACAAUCAGAAUAGUUUGUUGGGUUUUUUUUUUGUUGUUGUUGUUGUUUUUUGUUUUUUUUUUAAAGAUUUACUUACUUUAGAGAGAGCUGGGGGGAGGGGCAGAGGGACAAAGAGUCCUAAGCAGACUCGGUGCUGUGCGCAGAGCCCCACAUGGGCUUGACCCACAACUCAAUCUCAUGACCCUGAGAUUACAACCUGAGUAUGACACUUAGUGGACUGCACCACCCAGGCAUCCCAACCGGAAAGUUCUUAACAGCUUCCAGAAAAUAACUUCAAUUUCUCUUGGUAAUCUGGGCUAUUUUAACAAUACUAUCAGAAAAAACAAAAAACAAAAAACCCAAGUAUGACUAAAGAUGAAAUCAAUGUACUGCAUUCAAAGAAAUUAUGGAAAAGCUUAGAAUAGAUAAAUUCGGAGGAGUUUGUGAAGAAGGCUCAGGCCUGAACUAGGGUCCUUUAAGAAGCUGUAAGUAAUCUGUACUUCAUACAUAUCUGCGAACAAUCUUUGCAAAUUCCAGCUUCAGUUUAUCUGAGGUUUUGCUGUUAUCAAGCUGCCAGAAAAAUUUCCCUGCUUCCUGAAACCCAAAAUGGACACAAAGCCCUUUAUUCUUAAAGUGAACUAAGAGCUUAUUAUCCUUAAAAUAAUCAGUCCAGUAAAAGGAUAUAGUUUUAAGUAGGGGAGGGAAAAUGUAGAUAGGCAAAUUUGAGAGCACAGGAAGCUACUUGGACAAUGAAGGGGAAACAAACUUUGGCCAGCCCAUUUGCCUUUGGCUGUGAACGGGGAAAAGCAAGCAUAUGAUUUUGGAACACUGUUGUGUAACAUACCAACAAUUUAAAAAAAAAAAUCUUAAAGGAACUGAAGUACCAAAAAAUUCAUUAAGUACCACCAGACCAAGAUUAUAAACCUAGAUGAAGUUUCCUAAGACUUUUUUCCCCCUGAUUUCAAAGGAGCCAGUAUCAGGCCUUCCAAAUAUUUAACGUUUAGUAUUUUAACAUUUGGACUAUAUUUCUGUAGGUACCUAUUAAAAUAACAUUUGAUGGGCAGCCCGGGUGGCUCAGCUAAAUUAGUGCCACCUUCAGUCCAGGGUGUGAUCCUGGGGGAACUGGGAUCGAGUCCUGCAUUGGGCUCCUGCAUGGAGCCUGCUUCUCCCUCUGCCUUUGUCUCUGCCUCUCACUCUGUGUCUCUCAUGAAUAAAUAAAUAAAAUCUUUAAAAA